ACCUGUCAAAUUCAAACGAGAAUCUAAUUUAACGAUCACAAGCUUUUCCCAUUUUUCGAUCAUUUGGCGUUCGUCAGUUUCAAGGUGGCGAAGAGACAAGCAAUGGCGGAUUGGCAGCCAAUUCAUCGGCGGUGGAGAAAAAUCAGACCGGUAAAUUGAUUGCUCGAGCGGCCAAGAGACGACUGAUACUUUCUAAUAUCUCGAAUCAUACAACUCUCCCUGCUCGUAACUCGAUUUCUCAUUCCUUCAAACUUGUGUGGGACUUGAUAAAACUGGCGAAUUAUAUCUAACAGAGAGGAAAGAUAUUGACUCGUCAAGGAUAGAACUAGUGGUGAAUCACUUGGAGGAUAGGCGAGUCAUUUUACAUGCAAUAUCGAACUUUUUCUUAAACAUGUGGAGUUCAUAUAUGUUUUGUGUUGCAGGAAACUCAGGAAGCUGAGAUCAAAUGUUAAGGAAGAGCUUAAAAUUUAAAGCAACACCUAUGCCAAGCUUUUAUCAGUAACCUGCACCUCCAAAGAUGGAGUUGAGAAGAUAAUUUUUUGCUACGUUGUAUGUUAUAAUGCCGAAAAAUACAAUCUUGUAUGGGAAAAAAAUAAAACUGAUGUCUUUGAAGGAAGUGCCCCCGAAUAAAGCUGAUGGAAGCGCAGAAUCAUCCUCGUAUCUUAAAUCCAUCAAAUCUUUCUUUUUUCCUUCAGUCCUUCGAUUUAGAGUUCUUAUUUUUAUUAGCAUUAAAUAUAAGUCAUCAAGUUUAUCCUUAAUCACUUCAUU